UAAUAAAAUGCAUUAUCAACACUGUUGUUCCUUAUCACUUCACGAGCCGUAACAAUCAUCAUUGGUUUCAGUUACGUGAGAAGUUUGUUUUGCUGUUGACACAGGCCAGUGUUGUUUUCGUAGCACUAGCAGAAAUAUUGCAAAUCGUACAUUUUCGUCGUAGGCUUACUCAGUCCCAAGGAUAUACUAUGGCUACUGGAAGAACUUCGAACAAGAUAUCGAGGACAAGUGUUGUAUUGAAAAGCAGCUCAGUCCACUUGGGAACCUAACCGUGGUUUUUAAGAAUGCACACCUUGGAAGCAACGGCGAAGUUGAGGUUAAUCGUCAUGUCGUAUACAAGCUCAGGUCCGGACUUGGAUACAAUGUCAGCAACAUUAAGGAGCAUCCUCUGAACGAUGGACCACCUAUUCCUUUCCUGGCACUCUACAUAAGGUACGGGAGCUGCAUCCUCUUGAAUGCCAUCGCCGUACACAAGGACGCUUGUGCCAUGCUGGUGACGGAUCUAUGCAACGUGGACCCGUGUUGCGUGGAGAUGUAUGACUACAUCUGUGGGCCUAAGAAGAUACCCCUAUACGAAUACAGUUGUUCUGACGUAUAUGCUAGCGUGCAAUAAAUAUAUAAACAAAUG